rnacentral:rRNA from 1 species
AUUGAACGCUGGCGGCAGGCCUAACACAUGCAAGUCGAACGGCAGCGGGGGAAGCUUGCUUCCCCGCCGGCGAGUGGCGGACGGGUGAGUAAUGCCCUGGGGAGCUGCCCAAUCGAGGGGGGAUACCAGUUGGAAACGACUGCUAAUACCGCAUACGCCUCGAGGGGGAAAGAUGGGGAUCUUCGGACCUAUCGCGAUUGGAUGCACCCAGGUGGGAUUAGCUAGUUGGUGAGGUAACGGCUCACCAAGGCGACGAUCUCUAGCUGGUCUGAGAGGAUGACCAGCCACACUGGAACUGAGACACGGUCCAGACUCCUACGGGAGGCAGCAGUGGGGAAUAUUGCACAAAUGGGGGGAAACCCUGAUGCAGCCAUGCCGCGUGUGUG